CCUGAUUGGCCCUUUGAACCGGGCGUGGGAUUGGCCGUCGCCUGCCCACCCCGCGGCUGCAGCGUUCCCUGGGGCCUAGCCAACCGCGGGCAGGGCUGGGCAAGGCGGGAGGAGCGCGGACCCAAGAUCGGCUACGCUGCGUCUGCUCAGGCUGCGAGUUCCCGGCUCUGGGGACUCACCUUGCGGAGCUUACCCAGGCGGACUCUCCGCAGCCCCUGAUGGGUGUGUGUGUCAGACCGUUUACUAAACACCAGGACUGUUGUAGGCGACUAAAAGAAAACUGAGAUCCAGGAAAGGGAAGUGAUUUUCCAAAGACACACCUGUGAAAGGUGAGGAGAACAGCCCAGUGAGGCUGAGGCCACACAAUUAACCCCAGUCUUUGCACUACAACUCUACCAGGGAUCCUGGUUUGGCUCAUUUUCUUUCUUCUGCACCAUGAUUGUUCACCUUUUCAUUACCAGCAACAUACCCAAAGACCUAGCUAUAGACUCGUUGGAAUCUGUUACUUAGCAGCUGUGUGAAUCAAGUGUUCAAUAGGAAUAAUAAGAUGUAUUCAUCUUACCUUUUCAGAACAUUAUGAAGAACAAAUGUGGUAAGACAUAUGAAAAUGCUUUGUAAAGUGUUAGAUGCUUAAUACACAGAAGACAUUGCUUCCAGAUCUGUUUCAACGUACCCCAAGAAUGGAAUAAGUGGAAUAUGCUGGUUUCAUGCACUGUGGCAAGGGGGUCUCAUCUUGGCUAGACUUGAAUAAGUGGAUUUGUUGCCUGGCCUCUGUGGAUGGCUCUUUCUCUGGGCUUUUGUGUAUUUGAUUUUUUAUUUGCUCCAGCAGCCGUGUUGAACCAUGAAAGGACCUCAGGAAUGAAACCCACACACAGCAAAGCAACAAAGUGAAAGAAGCGUGGAUUCCUAAUGCAGGAGGCACUGAACCAAUCAAUACCCACUGCCCUCCAGACCUCCACAUGAAAGAAAAAAACUGCUGUCCUGUAUUCCUUUAAGCCUCUCUGAAACUUGACCCUCUGGCAGGAACAGGUGCCAUUACAUACAGACACUCUCUCUCUUCCAAAUUCACCCUGUCAUAUCAAAGGGAAAACUGAAGUGGUCCACUGUAGACCUGACAGAUGAUCACAAACAGGAAACCAGCAAUCAGAAGUGCCUACUGAGCUCCCUACCCUGACCAUCACCUACAGCUACAUUUUACAGAUACAAAAUCAUUGUUUGUUCAACUUUCAUAUCAAAGGAUGCUAUUAGUUCAUUUCCAAAGGUGGGAAAAUGUUUCAACUUACUUUAUUACUUGUCUGCUACUUACUAUUUUCCCUCCGUUUGCCUGCCUGACUUCUUUUAACUCUUCACUCAACAAAUAUCUACUGACUACUGAGCACUUGCCAAGUGCUAGGCCAGAGCUGGAUGCUGUACUACGGGCAGAUGAAGUGCUAUGGGCAUCCAGAGGUGGAAGAAGAGGGUAUAGCGAAAGGGGAGAAAAGGCUGCAACAAUAUUCACUGAGCCCUGUGCUCCCAGGUCAUCACAUAGACUAUGUCAUUAUUCCUCCUAACCACCCACAUGAGUAAAUAGGGGCUAUUACUGAAGAAACAGAGGCUUACAAAGGUUGAGCAACUUGCCCAAGGUCAUCUAUCACAAGACACUACAAGUCAGACUGCUGAAGAGGGAGUUUCUGCUGAGAAGCUGAAGUGGGCAGCUCAUAUUGGAUAUGAAGGCUUCAAAGGAAUCUAAAUCCUAAUGAUCCCUCUAGAGCCAACAUGCAGCACCAGUUUUCUCUUCCACAUUUGAACUGCUCAUCCACUUCCGGCUCCAAGACCUCACUCUCCAUCUAAACUAGUCCCACGCCAUCCAUAUCUUUCUCCACUAACGCCACCCAAUCACAACCCCACAGCCUCUUAGUCAUGAGUCAUUUUUUAAAAACUGCAAACCAUGUAAUGAGCCAUGGCAAUAUGCAACCCUAAACCUCAACACGUGUUUUCCACAACAAGGCCACAGGUGGCAGAAGCGAGCCUAAGGCCGUAGGACACUAAGGCAGGACUCUCUGGCUUGAGCUUUCCAAAAAGGGAGGUGAGAGAAGGUCUACCUGCGGGAAGUCAUGCUGAAGGCCUGAGGCUGAGUCAAAGAAGGAGCCCCCUGGAGGCUCUGCAGUUCCUGGACUUCAGGUAGAGGAACUCUGCCAUGAACACCUCUGGAAUCGUGUCAUUUUGGGACAAUUAGAGAAUAUCAGUUUUCAGACUGAGUUCUAUGGGAAGGUGCCUGCACAACAAAGGAGAGACGGAAUGGACUUCAGGUCUUCCAAAAUACCCCUCAUGUUCACCAAGUUGCUCUCUGCUCUAAGAUACCAGAUGAGGGGGCCAGUGGGGACUGAAACCCAGUCCCCAGUCUGCUGGCCAAUCCCUUUGCCUGUGAGGCUGCUCUGUCCUACCAGAGAGGGCACUUUUCAUAAUUUGCACCAAGUACAGAAUAGGAUAGUGUAGCUUUACCCUUCUCCCUACCAUCAACCACAGACACAUCAACACAUGCACACAUACAGCCACACAAAUAUACCUACAGGCAUACACAUACAACACAGGCACAUACAUGUUUGCACAAAGUCACAUGUAGACACAAACGCAGAGCACACAGACACAAACACAGGCACAAACCCAUACUUACACUACACACACACACAAACACACACAGACACACAAAUGCAAAUUAAGCCACAAUGUAGCACAUAGAGAUAUAGACACAGACGCAAAUACAGUCACAUAGAGAUAUAGACACACACUUAUACACACAUAUAUGUAAAUAUACAGUCUCAUUCACUUUAUACCACACAUGUAUAAACAUACACAAUUGUAUGUAGACACACAUACACAUAGGUACUCAGACCGCAUAGAUACAUAUGUACACACAUACAAAUAUAUGCACAUACACAGAUAUAUAUAUACACACAUGCAUCUUUAACCAGAACAACUUUACUUUUGUCAGUUUUAUAUGACAGAGUCUUUAAAAAAAGAUUUCAUCUGGCUUGUGUUCUACUAUUAAAAGA
rnacentral:lncRNA from 10 species